rnacentral:lncRNA from 1 species
AACCGGUGUAUUUAGUUCCAGUGACCUGAGGAUGCAUAUGACACAUUCAGCAAAAUCGGGCUAGGGAUUAAUAUUGCUAAGGUCAGGGUGGUCAUUUUGGGCACACAGCGGGUAAUCUUUCAUAAGGGUUUACCACUCUUCCGUAUCUUAGUUCAUCUAUAAUGAACUGGCAGAGAGAGAUGGUUAUUAGAAAAUAAAAUGCACUUAGAGUCCCCCAUGAAUCAUUUAUGGGAGACACCAUGCUUAGCAAAGACUAUGAAAAUAUGGCUGUUAAGGGCAACUCAGGCACUAUUUCUGGAUGACUUUCAAGCAUGACCACUAGCUACAGGACUGGGCCUGGACACAUUAGAAGAAUUUAGGCCUUCAGGAUGAAAAGGAAAAUGUGUGGGCAGAGACUGAGUCCAAGGCAGUGGCCUUCACAAGUCACCCUGUGAUGGUGUCCAUACUGCGAGGCAUCCCUCACCCGAGAAAGCAACUUUUUCUGCACGGGAUGACUCUGGUUACAUUUGCUUGUUCCCGCCAUGAAUAAAAGGAAGAGAGGUCAGCUGAAGAGGCAAUUAAUUCAACACAACUGAGGUUUGGCAAUUAACUUUUAAAUAUGCAAGCAGUUGAGGAGAGCGAGGAAGUGGUUUUCUCUUCGCACAGCCAGUGAAAGAUGGUGCGAUGUUAUCAAGGCUUUCGGGUAACCAGCAAAAAGUUUUUCAGUUACCACUCUGCCCACAGUCAGAGUAUGAGUGGUGAUAGCCUAAUGAUAGGGGUGCAGGAGCCCAAAGAAGGAGAGAAUUGGUGCUCUCUAGGUUAAAUAUAAAUAGAACUUGUUAAGAUCUUUCUAGAAGGCUGGGGGAAGCAAUCAGCUAGCUAAAGAUUUGUGCAGGAGUUUGCCCCAGGGAACACUUUAACCUAGGCUUUUUAUUUCCUUUGCAGUCUACGACUAAAGGAAAAUGGACGAGCUUCCCCACAGGAUGAGGGGGUGCACCAAAUGAACUACACUUUGCUGUUGAAAAGUAUCACCUGGGCGGUUCAGCUUCCUGAACAUGUCAGCUUCUGGACAUUCUAAGAAGAGGUGGGGUGGCCCAAUAAUUUUUUGUUUUUUUAAAGAAAUCACUGGAGAUGUUUGGGAAACACUAGAUUGGAUUUCUGUCUUCUAGAUAUAGCAGAUCAUAA